rnacentral:rRNA from 1 species
UACGGAGGGUGCGAGCGUUGUCCGGAAUCACUGGGCGUAAAGGGCGCGUAGGCGGCCUGAUAAGUAGGGGGUGAAAUCCUGCGGCUUAACCGCAGGGCUGCCUUCUAAACUGUCAGGCUUGAGCACAGUAGAGGCAGGUGGAAUUCCCGGUGUAGCGGUGGAAUGCGUAGAGAUCGGGAGGAACACCAGUGGCGAAGGCGACUACCUGGCCGUGUUCUUGACGCUGAGGCGCGAAAGCUAGGGGAGCAAACGGG